CACGUAGGGCGCAAGCGUUGUCCGGAAUUAUUGGGCGUAAAGAGCUCGUAGGUGGUUUGCCACGUCCGCUGUGAAAUCCCAAGGCUUAACCUUGGGCUUGCAGUGGAUACGGGCAGACUAGAGGUAGGUAGGGGAGAAUGGAAUUCCCGGUGUAGCGGUGAAAUGCGCAGAUAUCGGGAGGAACACCGGUGGCGAAGGCGGCUCUCUGGGCCUUACCUGACACUGAGGAGCGAAAGCGUGGGGAGCGAACAGG
rnacentral:rRNA from 1 species